ensembl:snRNA U6 U6 spliceosomal RNA
GUACUUUCUACAACAGCACAGAGACUAAUAUUGAAAUAAUGCAGAGAUUAGCCUGACCCUUGUACAAGGAUGACAUGCAAAUUCGUGAAAUCUCCCAUUUUCUU